UCUCACUGGUAGCUGCAGAGGAGUUUGAUUGACAUUCACUCCUGCAGGAGAAGUAAUUAAAUGGAAAGUCAGCAGCUUCCCGUCUCCUGAACACUGCAUGGAAAAAAAAAACGCAUAGGGGGGAAAAAGCUGCUGGGGUGCCGCAGAAAAGACACUCCCCAAGCUCUCGACAGCCCCUCAGUUCGCCCGUGGGCUUCCUCUGACUGUCAGUACUCAACUCUUGAGGAAUUCUUUCUACCUGCUCUCAGGUAAUCCCUGACACGUCUCUGUUGGAGGAUGCUGUGAAGUGUGUAGUUGUGUAAAGAAGUGUAAUUACUGAGUAUUUGUUUGGAAAACUCAGAGAAAUGCUAAAAUUUACAGUAAACCGAGACCUUUUUUUCUUUGUUUUCAACUAAAGCUGAACUUAGUGGGCUUUCUUGUGGAAAGUAUUUAAAGAUAGUUUGGUGUAUUUAAUUGUCACCGAGAAGCAAGAAUGUAUGAUGUUUGAUUUUUGAGAAGGGGGGAAAAAAAGGGAAGCUCGUGAUGUUCAAAGGGAGGAUGAAAUUUAAGGUUUAGCUGAAAGUCUGCAGACCACAGAGAGGCCGAGCUCUUGUAUUUAUUCCUGUUUUCAAAGCGGGAUCAGACGUGAAUGCUCUGAUCUGAUUAUUACAUUGCAUUAUGUAUACAGAUACAGUACUAUACCGUUGAUGGAACACUUAUUUAUGUCCACUUUGUUUGUUAUCAACACUGUGAUAUAUGUAUUUCAUUCAAUUUAUUCACUUCUUUUUACAUGAUCAUUGUGUCUGGUAAAUAAAAAAACAAAACAUGUUGUCUUAUUAUAA
ensembl:lncRNA